UUUAAGAGAAAAGCUGUGGGAAUUGAAAUCGCUGGAAGUGCCCUGAGGGUGGAAUCACCCAAGGCUUUUGGAACUUGCAACCAGAUUGCUUCAGAUGCUGAGUGUAGAACUCUAGGACUUAAUGUUUGCCCUGCUGGAUGUUGGAAUUGCUUUGUUUCAAAUGCUUUCUGUUCUCCUGUUUUUAACUUUUGGAAUGGUAAUGUUUAUCUUGUGCCUUUGCAUUUCAGAAAUGUUUAACCUUGUUUCUUUUGUACAGGGGCUUACAGUUAAGGGUUUGCCAUAGAUCUUGGAGGAGUCUUGGGACUUGGACUUUUCAGCAAUGUUGAAGCUGUUAGGACUUUGGAAACUCUUGGAGGUGGACUAAAUGUCUUUUGUAUAAAGGAUUUACAUGAGUCCUGGGGGUCAGGGGUGGAAUGUCAUGGUUUAUGUUUGUGUCCCCCAGGACUCAUGAGUUUGCAUUGUUCACAUGUGAUGGUUCAUUGUAUAGUGCUUGGAUUGAUGAUGUCAGUGCUUAACCCACAUAGGGGUGGAGCCAGGAUGUGAUGUAAUGGCAGGAAGAAGGUGUGUUUUUCUCUUUGCUGGUUUGAGUUUGCUGUGGGUGGCCGACAUGAACUGCGGUCCAGCCAUGCCUGCCUGUCUUGGAGCCAACUGAGUGUGGACUGAAACCUCCAAAAACUGGGCACCAACAUUUAAUCCAGAUGUUUGCUUGUGUCAGUAAAACUUUCUUCAUGUGGAGGUUUGAAUGAUUACUAGCUCAUCAACUCCAAGCAACUGCUUACAAACAGACUGAACAAACAGACAACUGAUAUAUGGACGGACUGAAGAACAUCUCAAAAUAUCAGAGUGUACUUGAGCAUAUCCUUAAGCUCAAUUACAAUACCCUCUAACAAAGUUAGAGUCUAUAAUUAUAAAACAAUCAGUUGAAUUUUUUAUAGACCAACUAGCUGAGAUCCUGUAUAAAAGGAAUUGAGGCUUG